rnacentral:siRNA from 1 species
CAUCAACUUCCACUCCUUCAUCAA